UACGAAGGGUGCAAACGUUGCUCGGAAUUAUUAGGCGUAAAGCGCACGUAGGCGGCUUAGCAAGUCGGAUGUGAAAUCCCUCGGCUCAACCAAGGAAGUGCAUCCGAAACUGCUGAGCUUGAGUACGAAAGAGGAUCGCGGAAUUCCCGGUGUAGAGGUGAAAUUCGUAGAUAUCGGGAGGAACACCAGUGGCGAAGGCGGCGAUCUGGGUCGAUACUGACGCUGAGGUGCGAAAGCGUGGGGAGCAAACAGG
rnacentral:rRNA from 1 species